UUUGCAUGUGACACACUUGACUAGUCUGCUAUUCAGACAGUACAAUCAUUUUAAUAACUGCCUGUCUUUCGCUGGCUGGCUGCUCCCCACCUACUUCUCUUUCCUCAGACUGCACACAUUUGCAGCACUUCUGCUUCUAACUUCUAUCAAAAAAGUCAUUUGUGCAGUUUAAACAGCUAAUUGAAAACGUGAAAUGAUCUUAGACGUGCAGGAAAUGAUAUCGUAUUUAUCCUUGGACCAUCUUUAAGAGUCAUGUGGUACGGCAUAUUCCUUGCAUCAGGCGUUACAACAGACACAGAAAAAGAGAUGAAAAACCUGGAGAAGUCAUGAAAUUUGACAAAGAUGAGUGAAAUUAAAAUUGUUUUUGAAUUACAAAUGUUUCAAAUACGGAUCCAAAAUUUUUCCCAAAAAGAAAAAGCCACAUGGAAAAUGGGAAAUGGCGCCAAUGUUCCUCUAAUUUCCGUGAAUUGUUUAAGAAAUGAGAGUAGAAAAGAGCCUCCCGUUUCCUGCGUUUAGUCAGGCGUCGGCAGAGAAAAGCGCGCGUACGAGAUGGGAUGAGAUGAUGCACCUGCAGCCAAACUUUGCAGGAAUCUUUCCCAGCAGGUGCAUGCCCUCUUCAGAAAAAAAAAAAAAACCUUAACAGGACCUCACCAUGCUCCUGUAGAACUACUGCCCUGUCCUAGAGUUGUUACAGUUCUUGCUGAGUGAAAGGCCCGGUGCGUGGCGGGGCGUCUUGGCACUUGCUUUGUGCUGUGCCAAUAAAAGCUGACACCCGGGAGACCAUUACUGGCAGCCAUGCAUGAGAUGGGAUGAGGCGCGCGCAAGAAGAGUGGACCGUUCAU